rnacentral:rRNA from 1 species
UACGAAGGGACCUAGCGUAGUUCGGAAUUACUGGGCUUAAAGAGUUCGUAGGUGGUUAAAAAAGUUGAUGGUGAAAUCCCAAGGCUCAACCUUGGAACUGCCAUCAGAACUUUUUAGCUAGAGUGUGAUAAAGGAAAGUGGAAUUUCUAGUGGAGGGGUGAAAUUCGUAGAUAUUAGAAAGAACAUCAAAAGCGAAGGCAACUUUCUGGAUCAUUACUGACACUGAGGAACGAAAGCAUGGGUAGCGAAGAGGAUUAAAUACCCUCGUAGUCCAUGCCGUAAACGAUGUGUGCUAGACGUUGGAAACUUAGUUUUCAGGGUCGCAGCGAAACCAUUAAGCACACCGCCUGGGGAGUACGACCGCAAGGUUAAAACUCAAAUGAAUUGACGGGGACCCGCAGAAGUAGUGGAGCAUGUGGUUUAAUUCGAAGAUACGCGCAGAACCUUACCAACACUUGACAUGUUCGUCGCGACUCUGAGAGAUCAGAGUUUUCGGCUCGGCCGGACGAAACACAGGUGCUGCAUGGCUGUCGUCAGCUCGUGUCGUGAGAUGUUGGGAUAAGUCCCGCAACGAGCGCAACCCCUACCUUUAGUUGCCACCAUUAAGUUGGGCACUUUAAAGGAACUGCCGGUGAUAAGCUGGAGGAAGGUGGGGAUGACGUCAAGUCCUCAUGGCCCUUCACGGUGUUGGGCUCCCCACGUGCUCCAAUGGCACUUCCAGUGGGAAGAUAAGACGCGAGUCCAACCUAAUCCCUAAAAUGUGCCUCAGUUCGGAUUGCAGUCUGUAACUCGAGUGCAUGAAGCUGGAAUUACUAGUAAUCGCGGAUCAGCGCGCCGCGGUGAAUACGUUCCCGGGUCU